rnacentral:lncRNA from 1 species
CCCAGCCAGCUGUCAGCUAUACCUCCAUUCUGUCUGGUUCUCAGGGCUGGAAUCGCUGGGCAGGUCUAGCUAAUCCUUGGCCCUCCUAGGAAAAUAUUCCUAAAUCCUGAAGGCAUUUAGCUAGGAAAGAUCCAGAAUGGACCCAACUCUUCCUGUUUUACCCCAAACCGGUUGGUCUGCUUUGGGGAUUACUUCUCAGGCUAGGAACCUCUGAGUGUUCUGAAACGGGCCUGAACUCUUACAGAAGCUCUUGUGGCCCUAGGAUGAAUUUAGAGGUCUCCAUACCCAGCCUGGAAGGUGAAGAACGACCCCUAACGACCCACCCUCCCAACCUAAUGCCGGUUCUGCUCCACUUGUCCACUCUGGGGAGCUGUGCUUUGGCUUGGAAGCUCUCGGAUUGAAGGAUGGGCCCAAGACCCUCACAGGUGAAGCCUCGGUAGGUCCCAGGGAGAAGAAAGAUUCCUCCACCCCACCACCCCUCUAAGUCCGACCCACCUUUCUCCCCGCCAGCUGCAUCAGAUCCCUCCAGGGCCUCAUUGUCA